rnacentral:rRNA from 1 species
AUGAACGCUGGCGGCGUGCCUAACACAUGCAAGUCGAACGGAGUCCAGCCUUUAAGACCUUCGGGUCAAAGAGGGGAAGACUGAGUGGCGGACGGGAGAGUAACACGUGGGCAACCUGGCUCAUAGAGGGGGAUAACAGAGAGAAAUUUCUGCUAAUACCGCAUAAGCACACACUGCCGCAUGGCAGAGGGUGAAAAGAGAAUCGCUAUGAGAUGGACCCGCGUCUGAUUAGCCAGUUGGCAGGGUAAGAGCCUACCAAAGCGACGAUCAGUAGCCGAUCUGAGAGGAUGAACGGCCACAUUGGGACUGAGACACGGCCCAAACUCCUACGGGAGGCAGCAGUGGGGGAUAUUGCACAAUGGGGGGAACCCUGAUGCAGCGACGCCGCGUGAGUGAAGAAGUAUUUCGGUAUGUAAAGCUCUAUCAGCAGGGAAGAUAAUGACAGUACCUGAAGAAGAAGCCCCGGCUAACUACGUG